GCAACCGGUUUCGCGCGCAUGGAACGCAGAGAGAGAGAGAGAGAGAGAGAGAGAGCGACAAUAAAAAAAAAAAAAGAAAAGAAACGGGCAAAGGCGCUCAGAUUUCUCGGAGCACGUACGCCGUCGCCGGCUGCAGCGCCUGCGCAUGCGCAGCGGCAGCAACGGCGGCGCGCCAUCUCUCCGCGUCGAUUUGAAUUCUCAACGGCUGCGCCAGGCAAGUCAACGCUUGUUGCUGCUGGUGAGCUGCGUGCACCUUGGUGUCUGUGUAUUCGUCUCGACUUUGUGGCAUCACACGUCAACUACACUGAACGCGGGUGUCAUAGACUGCCAGGGAAUUUUCAUGAAAACAGCCAGGGAAAGCUUGGAAAAACAUCAGGGAAAUUGAAAAUGACAACAUAGCAUGCACCUGCAGCACCUUCGGAACGGCUGACAUGAAGGUCAAGGCCAGCCAGGCAACCGUGCUUGCCAAGGGGAAGCAGCUUUAAAUAUGUAAAUAUUCUCUUUUGAUGAUAGCAUAAGACAUGCAUUUUAAUAAAUUAAUGUAUUAUAUUGUUCAAUAAAAACAGUUAAUUCAAUAUCGGUGCACUUGUUUUCUUUUUUGCACUACAUGA